GAUGAACGCUGGCGGCGUGCCUAAUACAUGCAAGUCGAGCGAACGGACGAGAAGCUUGCUUCUCUGAUGUUAGCGGCGGACGGGUGAGUAACACGUGGAUAACCUACCUAUAAGACUGGGAUACCUUCGGGAAACCGGAGCUAAUACCGGUUGAUAUUUUGAACCGCAUGGUUCAUCAGUGAUAGACGGUCUUGCUGUCACUUAUAGAUGGAUCCGCGCUGCAUUAGCUAGUUGGUACGGUAACGGCUUACCAAGGCAACGAUGCAUAGCCGACCUGAGAGGGUGAUCAGCCACACUGGAACUGAGACACGGUCCAGACUCCUACGGGAGGCAGCAGUGGGGAAUCUUGCGCAAUGGGCGAAAGCCUGACGGAGCAACGCCGCGUGAGUGAUGAAGGUCUUCGGAUCGUAAAACACUGUUAUUAGGGAAGAACAUAUGUGUAAGUAACUGUGCACGUCUUGACGGUACCUAAUCAGAAAGCCACGGCUAACUACGUG
rnacentral:rRNA from 1 species